UAGAUGGAAAAGGGAUAAGUGAGUUCAAUAGAAAUCAACACCAAGACAUCAUAGGUUGUAGAGUGUGGUUUCUAAAGGUGGUAUCUUGAUGAUGUGGUAACAUGGACACUACUUAUGGACACCAUGGAUUAGGAUUGCCCCAAUCAUGUUGAUGUCUUUGUCUUAAGUCUCUAUCGUCUUCAAUUCAGCAUUAGCAACUUCAUUGGGCUCUCAAUUAUUAUGCACUGCCCCUGCCCCUGCCGUUUGCCGGUAGUGGGGUCUUAGACGACAAGGUUCACGCCCUCGGCGGGGAUGCCAAAGAGGACGCGACCAUGGCGGCAGUUGAGGACGCAUGAACCGGCGAAAUCAUGCAACACCUGCUGGGGGAAUGGGGAGGGUGCUACAGCGGGGACGAAGUGGGGCAAGUUGCGGGGCACGUUGCGGGCGCCGAUGGUGAAGUAAACGUGGAUGAAGCUGAGCAGGGGCGGUGCCUAGUGGAAGGCACGGUACCAGCGGCGGAAGGCGUGGUCAGAGAGGAGGCGGCGCCAGGGCUUGCAGAUGAGGGCGGCGCGCGCGAGGAGGAUCUCCUCAACGAUCUCGAUCAUCAGCUCCGGCGGCUGGCGCGGCCACGGCGGCACCAUGGCGUGCUAGUGGGCAGCGGAGCGAUGCGUGACGAGGCGAGGAUUUGAGUGGGGACUGGGGAUAAGGGGGUUUUGGGAUUGGGGAACAACGUGGGAGAGGAGAGCCAAGGCACAAGGCCCAAGAGUGGUUCAAUCAAGUUAAACUUAGCCCACCACACCCCACGGGCCACGGAUUUCACAGAUGGCAAAGCCUGCACACGAACAUGAAAAUACGUAUGAAGUCUUUGUGCUCUACAAGCAAACCACGGAGCGGAUAACAGCUCCGGGGGUCCAACAAAGUUGGGGACUGUGUUUAAUCAGAUAGACAUCAAUACUGUCUUUAGAAACAACCAAUUUGUUUUCUCUUGAAGCUUUUAUACUGGAAUUCAUCACAGUCAGGGCACCAGCUGAGGCCUUGCAGAUUUCCUGCUAUGAGGCUGUGCCAGUUUAUACAUGGUGCUUCUCUUCUAAUGAACUGGAAGAGGCGAUUCUGGAAGAAGCAGAGAGGAGGUGAGACUAUGCCGAUGCAGACUGCCUCAAGCUGAACCCAACGUACCCGGUACCCGGCCGACGAAUGGUGCCAAGCAUUCAACAAUAUGUAACACAUUUGUGGUUGACGUUUUGCUCUGUUUUCAACAUCUGAUGAAAAUCAUUGCAUGACCUGA